rfam:Sindbis virus isolate SW6562, complete genome.
AUUGACGGCGUAGUAGACACUAUUAUAAGAAAUAGCCGACCAAUAGCACUCCAUCACAAUGGAGAAACCUGUAGUUAACGUGGACGUAGACCCCCAGAGUCCGUUUGUCGCUCAGCUGCAGAAGAGUUUCCCGCAAUUUGAGGUAGUAGCACAGCAGGCCACUCCAAAUGACCAUGCUAACGCCAGAGCAUUUUCGCAUCUGGCCAGUAAACUAAUCGAGCUGGAGAUUCCGAUCACAGCGACGAUUUUGGACAUUGGCAGCGCACCAGCUCGUAGAAU